rnacentral:rRNA from 1 species
GAACCGUACGAACGUUUAUUUCGGAAUCACUGGGCUUAAAGCGUGCGUAGGCGGUCUGGAAAGUUGGGUGUGAAAGCCCUCGGCUCAACCGAGGAACUGCGCCCAAAACUGUCAGGCUUGAGGGAGAUAGAGGUGAGCGGAACUAAUGGUGGAGCGGUGAAAUGCGUUGAUAUCAUUAGGAACACCGGUGGCGAAAGCGGCUCACUGGGUCUCUUCUGACGCUGAGGCACGAAAGCUAGGGGAGCGAACGGGGAUUAGAUACCCCGGUAGUCCUAGCUGUAAACGAUGAGCACUGGGUCGAGGGAACCCCCCCCCACAUUCUCUCGGCCCGAAGCGAAAGUGUUAAGUGCUCCGCCUGGGGGAGUAUGGUCGCAAGGCUGA